GAUUUGACCUUUAGCAUUGUCUCCAAAUGUAACUACUCCUCCUUCUUUCGAUUUCAAGGUGACGAAAAGGCUCUUGUCACCGGUCAUAUGCCUUGAGCAACCACUAUCAAGAUACCACAUUCUCUUUUUACUCCCGGCUGCAAGGCAUACCUGCAAAAUAAUCAUGUGAAGCUCUUAGGUACCCAAGUUUUCUUGGGUCCUUCUUGGUUAGUGUAGUUGGUUCCCUUAGGCACCCACACUUUAGUUGUGUUUUUACCUUUUACAAAUGUAUUCUUAUUAGUUUGAAUCUUCCUUUGAAUGCAAGAAUAGGCUUUAUGUCCAUUCUUCCCACAAUGAAAGCAUGUAGGUUUUUCAGUCUUGAUAUCUUUUGCUUUCACAAAAAAAUUCUUUAGAUAUUUUUGUUGUUUGCUAGUUUUAUAUCCUAAUCC
rnacentral:lncRNA from 1 species